AGUGCUCAGUCUCUCUGUAGGAUUGACAGCUAUAGGAAUUACCAUGCGACUCAAAGAAUCAACUCCAGAUCCCUCAAGACCAGAUAAGCAGCUGCUCACUGAACGGACACCCCCCACGCCGCCUCUCUUCAAACAAACAUUAUCUGUGGGCGUUCCAAAGGGAGCCCCCAUGCCUGCCUCUACUCAUUCAAAGCAAACAGUAGCUAUGUUGGCUUUUUUGAUAAGCCACUCCUGGAGCUUCUGGAGUUCACAACAAAACAAAAAGGAAUCACAACAAAACAAGGAGAGAAACGAGAGGAAGCUUCACUUAAAAGGAUUAUGGGGAGUUUCCAGAGGUCAAUCACUGCAUAACAAGCUUACUCCCCAUUUACACUGGAGCACCAGCAUCUCAGCCACUCUGCAGCAGCUGUUAAUCCUCUCGAGGAGGUGGAGUACAUGCGGUGCUGUAGCCACGGAGAUACAGUGCUGUACAUGCCUUGCCAGUGUGGAUGGGGAGUGAGUUACAGCACUGUGGGCUGCUUUAU